CUUGAUGAUGCCCUGGUAUCACUAGGCAGGGAAGCAGAGUGCACAGUGUUCGGGUUAAAUGCGCACUUGCUCUCUGGGACUCUUUUCAGACAAGACUUACUGGGUAAGUGUCCAUUUGAUCAAGACCUGAACAAAUGUGCUAAGGUGAUUUAAUUUAUCUCAGAAUUUAAAAAAGAGAAAUGCACAAAAAUAUAAGAAUGACUUAUAUAAAAAUAUGAAAGUAGUUAUACCAGGGAAAAAUAUUCCUGAAAAUCUGUUUUUUAUAUUUUUAUUAUAUUUUCUUUCAGAAAAAAUUGAAAUUUUCAAAUUUCUAGACAGACAGUAAUGGAAAAAUUUAUUUUCACCAACCUUGAAUCACAGCCAAGAUAUCGUCCCUGGAAAUUGCUCCCUGAGGAUUACCAAAUGCUGCAGUGUUCUGAAUGCGCAGUAUAUGAGGCCGACUGCGAGGAGCAGCACACACUGGUCUGUUUCCAUUCACAGUUCCUCCCACAGACUCUUUUUAGAGGAAACUUUGGGGUGACAUUUCCAUCUGAGCAAGGCUUGAUCACAAUUUCCAGGGUGAUAUAG
rnacentral:lncRNA from 1 species